UACGGAGGUUGCAAUCGUUGUCCGGAAUCAUUGGGCCUAAAGCGCUCGCAGGCGGUUUCCUAAGUCUGAUGUGAAAGCACACGGCUCAACCGUGGAGGGUCAUUGGAAACUGGGGAACUUAAGUGCAGAAGAGGAGAGUGGAAUUCCACGUGUAGCGGUGAAAUGCGUAGAGAUGUGGAGGAACACCAGUGGCGAAGGCGACUCUCUGGUCUGUAACUGACGCUGAGGAGCGAAAGCGUGGGGAGCGAACAGG
rnacentral:misc_RNA from 1 species